GCUGGGUGUGGUGGCACAUGCCUGUAGUCCCAGCUACUCAGGAGACUGAGAUGGAAGGAUUGCUUGAUCCCAGGAGUUCUGGGCUGUACUGCGCUAUGCCGAGUGGGUGUCUGCACUAAGUUCGGCAUCAAUAUGGUGACCUCCUGGGAACAGGGGACCACCAGGUUUCCUAAAGAGGGGUGAACUGGCCCAGGUCAGAAACGGAGCAGGUCAAGACUCCCAUGCUGAUCAGUAGUGGGGUCGUGCCUGUGAAUAGCCACUACACUCCAACCUGGGCAACAUAGCAAGACCCCAUCUCUU
ensembl:misc_RNA Metazoa_SRP Metazoan signal recognition particle RNA